rnacentral:rRNA from 1 species
UCCCGAGCUUGCUUGGGAGAGUAAAGUGGCGCACGGGUGAGUAACGCGUGGGUAACCUACCUUUGAAUCUGGAAUAACCAGCCGAAAGGCUGACUAAUACCGGAUACGGUUUUGAGGACUUAGGUUCUCUAAAUUAAAGGUGACCUCUUCAUGAAAGUUGCCGUUCAUAGAUGGGCCCGCGUACCAUUAGCUAGUUGGUGGGGUAAUGGCCUACCAAGGCGACGAUGGUUAGCUGGUCUGAGAGGAUGAUCAGCCACACUGGAACUGGAACACGGUCCAGACUCCUACGGGAGGCAGCAGUGAGGAAUUUUGCGCAAUGGGGGAAACCCUGACGCAGCAACGCCGCGUGAGCGAAGAAGGCCCUCGGGUCGUAAAGCUCUGUCAAGUGGGAAAAAAAUCUUUUGAUCAAUAGUCAAAAGACUUGAUGGUACCACUGGAGGAAGCACCGGCUAACUCCGUGCCAGCAGCCGCGGUAAUACGGAGGGUGCAAGCGUUGUUCGGAUUUACUGGGCGUAAAGAGCGUGUAGGCGGUUUAGCAAGUCAGAUGUGAAAGCCCUGGGCUCAACCCGGGAAGUGCAUUUGAAACUGCUUCACUAGAGUAUGGGAGAGGAGAUUGGAAUUCCUGGUGUAGAGGUGAAAUUCGUAGAUAUCAGGAGGAACACCCGUGGCGAAGGCGAUUCUCUGGACCAAUACUGACGCUGAGACGCGAAAGCGUGGGGAGCAAACAGGAUUAGAUACCCUGGUAGUCCACGCCGUAAACGAUGAGAACUAGGUGUAGUGGGUAUUGACCCCUGCUGUGCCGAAG